rnacentral:rRNA from 1 species
CGGCGCGCCUAAACAUGCAAGUCGAACGAGAAGCCCGGGCUUGCCCGGGUGGACAGUGGCCAACGGGUGAGUAACACGUGAGGAACCUGCCCCGAAGACCGGGACAACAUCGGGAAACCGUUGCUAAUACCGGAUGCCCUCUAAUAAUCGCAUGGUUCAUCGAGGAAAUGGAUUCCGCUUCGGGAUGGCCUCUCGGCCUAUCAUCUUGUUGGUGAGGUAACGGCUCACCAAGGCUUCGACCGGUAGCUGGUCUGAGAGGAUGUCCAGCCACACUGGGACUGAGACACGGCCCAGACUCCUACGGGAGGCAGCAGUUAGGAAUCUUGCGCAAUGGACGAAAGUCUGACGCAGCGACUCCGCGUGCGGGAUGAAGGCCCUCGGGUUGUAAACCGCUUUCAGCAGGGACGAAAUUGACGGUACCUGCAGAAGAAGCCCCGGCCAACUACGUGCCAGCAGCCGCGGUAAUAUGUAGGGGGCUAGCGUUGUCCGGAUUUAUUGGGCGUAAAGAGCUCGUAGGCGGUUCGGUAAGUCUGAUGUGAAAUCUCCAGGCUCAACCUGGAGGGGUCAUUCGAUACUGCCGUGACUAGAGUUCGGUAGAGGAGUGUGGAAUUCCUGGUGGAGCGGUGAAAUGCGCAGAGAUCAGGAGGAACACCCGUAGCGAAGGCGGCACUCUGGGCCGAUACUGACACUGAGGAGCGAAAGCGUGGGGAGCGAACAGGAUUAGAUACCCUGGUAGUCCACGCCGUAAACGUUGGGCACUAGGUGUGGGGUUCUAUCGACGGAUUCCGUGCCGUAGCUAACGCAUUAAGUGCCCCGCCUGGGGGAGUACGGCCGCAAGGCUAAAAC